rnacentral:tRNA from 2 species
GCCCCCGUAGCUCAACGGGAAGAGCGGCGGCCUUCUAAGCCGCGGGUUGCGGGUUCGAGUCCUGCCGGGGGCGCCA